GAUCAUGGCUCAGGAUGAACGCUGGCGGCGUGCCUAAUACAUGCAAGUCGAACGCUUCACUUCGGUGAAGAGUUGGCGAACGGGGUGAGUAAUACAUAAGUAACCUGGCAUCUACAGGGGGAUAACUGAUGGAAACGUCAGCUAAGACCGCAUAGGUGUAGAGAUCGCAUGAACUCUAUAUGAAAAGUGCUACGGGACUGGUAGAUGAUGGACUUAUGGCGCA
rnacentral:rRNA from 1 species